ensembl:lncRNA
GCAAGGGAUAGAUGAUCUGGUCUACAGAAGCGGUCUGAUGAAACCAAUGGACGGAAAGUGGGGCAAACUAUUCAGAGACCCAGCACAUCCUGCGCCCUUAGAGACAACGUGAGGCCCUGUCAACUGAAGGAAGAAAAGGUGAGUUAGCCAAGAUCCUGAAGAGACCCGACUCUGCCCACCUGCCUGCCCUGAACACUGACUCCAGAAGUUGGCAAAGCUGCUGCCACCACCCAGCUCUCCCACUCGGCUAUCUGCAGUCAUGUCAGCCGAGACCAAGAGGCAUCAUUGCAAGACCAAGGGAUGAAUUCAUUCUUUUUAAUAAAGGAAUCUUCAAAUCAAAUAGCCCUUCUAGCUAUUUCAUCAACAACCCACUGGAGUGCCAGUCACAGAGACCACUCAUUUACCAGGUAAUUGCUGUCAUUCGAGUGUUGGAUGGGACGUUGUAAGAUAGCAGUUAAGUGAAUUUUUGCUUAGUCAAGUGCUUUUUCCCCCAUCAGGUCUGUAUAUUCUGAAUGUGCAGUGGAUAUCAGUGAGGGAUGGACUUGGCUAGCCUUGCUUUCCAGGUCUCUUUAUUUCUCUCCUAACUAAGACCCUGCUGGGAUGCAACUGGGGGAGGGCCUGGAGUCAGAGCGCUCUCCUGGAGGCCCAGCAGAGCACACCCAGCUCCAGGUUAUUAUUAGGUGCUCCAUCACCCCCAUCUCGAUGCCAGGAAGCUCCAGGUUUGUAAUGAGAGUGCUCUUCGUUAUGGAAAGGAGAGUUUAAUGUUCUGGGACAACUUCCUCUCCUCCCUGCCCUCUACCCCUCCUGGUGCUCCUCUGUUCACAGGUGCAAGGCAAGCAUUAUCCAGUCAUCCUUC